UUAAGUUAUUAAGGGCGCACGGUGGAUGCCUUGGCACUAGAAGCCGAUGAAGGACGUUACUAACGACGAUAUGCUUUGGGGAGCUGUAAGUAAGCUUUGAUCCAGAGAUUUCCGAAUGGGGAAACCUAGCAUGAGUUAUGUCAUGUUAUCGAUAUGUGAAUACAUAGCAUAUCAGAAGGCACACCCGGAGAACUGAAACAUCUUAGUACCCGGAGGAAGAGAAAGAAAAUUCGAUUCCCUUAGUAGCGGCGAGCGAAACGGGAAGAGCCCAAACCAACAAGCUUGCUUGUUGGGGUUGUAGGACACUCUAUACGGAGUUACAAAGGACGACAUUAGACGAAUCAUCUGGAAAGAUGAAUCAAAGAAGGUAAUAAUCCUGUAGUCGAAAAUGUUGUCUCUCUUGAGUGGAUCCUGAGUACGACGGAGCACGUGAAAUUCCGUCGGAAUCUGGGAGGACCAUCUCCUAAGGCUAAAUACUCUCUAGUGACCGAUAGUGAACCAGUACCGUGAGGGAAAGGUGAAAAGCACCCCGGAAGGGGAGUGAAAUAGAACCUGAAACCGUGUGCUUACAAGUAGUCAGAGCCCGUUAAUGGGUGAUGGCGUGCCUUUUGUAGAAUGAACCGGCGAGUUACGAUUUGAUGCAAGGUUAAGCAGUAAAUGUGGAGCCGUAGCGAAAGCGAGUCUGAAUAGGGCGUUUAGUAUUUGGUCGUAGACCCGAAACCAGGUGAUCUACCCUUGGUCAGGUUGAAGUUCAGGUAACACUGAAUGGAGGACCGAACCGACUUACGUUGAAAAGUGAGCGGAUGAACUGAGGGUAGCGGAGAAAUUCCAAUCGAACCUGGAGAUAGCUGGUUCUCUCCGAAAUAGCUUUAGGGCUAGCCUCAAGUGAUGAUUAUUGGAGGUAGAGCACUGUUUGGACGAGGGGCCCCUCUCGGGUUACCGAAUUCAGACAAACUCCGAAUGCCAAUUAAUUUAACUUGGGAGUCAGAACAUGGGUGAUAAGGUCCGUGUUCGAAAGGGAAACAGCCCAGACCACCAGCUAAGGUCCCAAAAUAUAUGUUAAGUGGAAAAGGAUGUGGCGUUGCCCAGACAACUAGGAUGUUGGCUUAGAAGCAGCCAUCAUUUAAAGAGUGCGUAAUAGCUCACUAGUCGAGUGACACUGCGCCGAAAAUGUACCGGGGCUAAACAUAUUACCGAAGCUGUGGAUUGUCCUUUGGACAAUGGUAGGAGAGCGUUCUAAGGGCGUUGAAGCAUGAUCGUAAGGACAUGUGGAGCGCUUAGAAGUGAGAAUGCCGGUGUGAGUAGCGAAAGACGGGUGAGAAUCCCGUCCACCGAUUGACUAAGGUUUCCAGAGGAAGGCUCGUCCGCUCUGGGUUAGUCGGGUCCUAAGCUGAGGCCGACAGGCGUAGGCGAUGGAUAACAGGUUGAUAUUCCUGUACCACCUAUAAUCGUUUUAAUCGAUGGGGGGACGCAGUAGGAUAGGCGAAGCGUGCGAUUGGAUUGCACGUCUAAGCAGUAAGGCUGAGUAUUAGGCAAAUCCGGUACUCGUUAAGGCUGAGCUGUGAUGGGGAGAAGACAUUGUGUCUUCGAGUCGUUGAUUUCACACUGCCGAGAAAAGCCUCUAGAUAGAAAAUAGGUGCCCGUACCGCAAACCGACACAGGUAGUCAAGAUGAGAAUUCUAAGGUGAGCGAGCGAACUCUCGUUAAGGAACUCGGCAAAAUGACCCCGUAACUUCGGGAGAAGGGGUGCUCUUUAGGGUUAACGCCCAGAAGAGCCGCAGUGAAUAGGCCCAAGCGACUGUUUAUCAAAAACACAGGUCUCUGCUAAACCGUAAGGUGAUGUAUAGGGGCUGACGCCUGCCCGGUGCUGGAAGGUUAAGAGGAGUGGUUAGCUUCUGCGAAGCUACGAAUCGAAGCCCCAGUAAACGGCGGCCGUAACUAUAACGGUCCUAAGGUAGCGAAAUUCCUUGUCGGGUAAGUUCCGACCCGCACGAAAGGCGUAACGAUUUGGGCACUGUCUCAACGAGAGACUCGGUGAAAUCAUAGUACCUGUGAAGAUGCAGGUUACCCGCGACAGGACGGAAAGACCCCGUGGAGCUUUACUGUAGCCUGAUAUUGAAAUUCGGCACAGCUUGUACAGGAUAGGUAGGAGCCUUUGAAACGUGAGCGCUAGCUUACGUGGAGGCGCUGGUGGGAUACUACCCUAGCUGUGUUGGCUUUCUAACCCGCACCACUUAUCGUGGUGGGAGACAGUGUCAAGCGGGCAGUUUGACUGGGGCGGUCGCCUCCUAAAAGGUAACGGAGGCGCUCAAAGGUUCCCUCAGAAUGGUUGGAAAUCAUUCAUAGAGUGUAAAGGCAUAAGGGAGCUUGACUGCGAGACCUACAAGUCGAGCAGGGUCGAAAGACGGACUUAGUGAUCCGGUGGUUCCGCAUGGAAGGGCCAUCGCUCAACGGAUAAAAGCUACCCCGGGGAUAACAGGCUUAUCUCCCCCAAGAGUUCACAUCGACGGGGAGGUUUGGCACCUCGAUGUCGGCUCAUCGCAUCCUGGGGCUGUAGUCGGUCCCAAGGGUUGGGCUGUUCGCCCAUUAAAGCGGUACGCGAGCUGGGUUCAGAACGUCGUGAGACAGUUCGGUCCCUAUCCGUCGUGGGCGUAGGAAAUUUGAGAGGAGCUGUCCUUAGUACGAGAGGACCGGGAUGGACAUACCUCUGGUGUACCAGUUGUCGUGCCAACGGCAUAGCUGGGUAGCUAUGUGUGGACGGGAUAAGUGCUGAAAGCAUCUAAGCAUGAAGCCCCCCUCAAGAUGAGAUUUCCCAACUUCGGUUAUAAGAUCCCUCAAAGAUGAUGAGGUUAAUAGGUUCGAGGUGGAAGCAUGGUGACAUGUGGAGCUGACGAAUACUAAUCGAUCGAAGACUUAAUCAA
rnacentral:rRNA from 2 species